GUAGGUGGCAAGCGUUGUCCGGAAUUAUUGGGCGUAAAGCGCGCGCAGGCGGUUCUUUAAGUCUGAUGUGAAAGCCCACGGCUCAACCGUGGAGGGUCAUUGGAAACUGGAGAACUUGAGUACAGAAGAGGAAAGCGGAAUUCCACGUGUAGCGGUGAAAUGCGUAGAGAUGUGGAGGAACACCAGUGGCGAAGGCGGCUUUCUGGUCUGUAACUGACGCUGAGGCGCGAAAGCGUGGGGGAGCAAACAGGAUUAGAUACCCUGGUAGUCCACGCCGUAAACGAUGAGUGCUAAGUGUUAGGGGGUUUCCGCCCCUUAGUGCUGCAGCUAACGCAUUAAGGCACUCCGCCUGGGAGUAACGGCCGCAAGGCUG
rnacentral:rRNA from 1 species